GGAACAUUACAACUCCGUAGAACUUUUACAAGAACAAUCAGACAUGUAAUCUGCAGCUCUAUCAUACAUAAACUUGCUUUUCGUCAGAGAGAACAUAACAGUUAACUCCAUAGAACAUUUACAAGAACCAUAUGACUUAGAAGAUGGAGCUUUUUAUUUCAUUUGUAGUACACCAGUGUAAUUGUGUUUAAUGACAAAUACAUGUAAGAUAUUUACGAUCAUCAUAAAUACAAGUUAUGAAUUUAGAUAUUCAUUACUUACCAGGUAAAUGAAAUCGACGCUGUUUCAACUGAAAUUUACAGCCCUGGAUAAAGUACAUGUAAUUGCAUUCAGUGUGUUCAUAUCUACUGAUAUUAGCCAAUGAACAGUCAGUUGACCAUGAGUAGACCCCACCUUCAUUGAAUUGGAGGUGAAGUUUCCUGUGAAUUUAUCAGUGAGUAGACUGUAGCCAACCUUUACUGCUGUUAACUGUUUAAUUAUGAACAGAAUUUUCACAUUGAGCUAUGAAAUGGUAGAGGACCUAAGAUAUCAGUUGUUGGCUUCAUUUAAAUUUUUGAGAACUUCAUUUACACUUGUUUGUAUAACUUUGUAAAAUUGCCUUAAAUUCUUUUUUAUCUUAAAUGGUGGGGAAAUUGUCUUCUUUAAAUGUUCACCCUGGACAUCAAUUCUAAAAAUAAAUUAUUAAGGAUG
rnacentral:misc_RNA from 1 species